rnacentral:rRNA from 1 species
CCUACGGGUGGCAGCAGUGGGGAAUAUUGGACAAUGGGCGAAAGCCUGAUCCAGCCAUGCCGCGUGUGUGAAGAAGGCCUUCGGGUUGUAAAGCACUUUCAGUGGGGAAGAAAGCCUUGGGGCUAAUACCCUCGAGGAAGGACAUCACCCACAGAAGAAGCACCGGCUAACUCCGUGCCAGCAGCCGCGGUAAUACGGAGGGUGCGAGCGUUAAUCGGAAUUACUGGGCGUAAAGCGCGCGUAGGCGGUCUGAUAAGCCGGUUGUGAAAGCCCCGGGCUCAACCUGGGAACGGCAUCCGGAACUGUCAGGCUAGAGUGCAGGAGAGGAAGGUAGAAUUCCCGGUGUAGCGGUGAAAUGCGUAGAGAUCGGGAGGAAUACCAGUGGCGAAGGCGGCCUUCUGGACUGACACUGACGCUGAGGUGCGAAAGCGUGGGUAGCAAACAGGAUUAAAUACCCUUGUAGUC